rnacentral:rRNA from 1 species
GAUGAACGCUGGCGGCGUGCCUAAUACAUGCAAGUCGAGCGAACGGACGAGAAGCUUGCUUCUCUGAUGUUAGCGGCGGACGGGUGAGUAACACGUGGAUAACCUACCUAUAAGACUGGGAUAACUUCGGGAAACCGGAGCUAAUACCGGAUGAUAUUUUGAACCGCAUGGUUCAAAAGUGAAAGACGGUCUUGCUGUCACUUAUAGAUGGAUCCGCGCUGCAUUAGCUAGUUGGUAAGGUAACGGCUUACCAAGGCAACGAUGCAUAGCCGACCUGAGAGGGGGAUCGGCCACACUGGAACUGGAACACGGUCCAGACUCCUGCGAGAGGCAGCAGUAGGGAAUCUUACGCAAUGGGCGAAAGCCUGACGGAGCAACGCCGCGUGAGUGAUGAAGGUCUUCGGAUCGUAAAACUCUGUUAUUAGGGAAGAACAUAUGUGUAAGUAACUGUGCACAUCUUGACGGUACCUAAUCAGAAAGCCACGGCUAACUACGUG